UUAGAUGAUGCCUAGUGAUUAUUUGAGUUUCUUGUGGUUUUAUAAUAAACAGAUAUCAACAUUUUAUGAGGCAUGAUACCCUCAUUAUCAUGUGUGGGCACCUUGUUGGGGUGAUACAUACUACUUUGCAUUAGCCAACAUGUACAAUAUGCCAGUUCCUUAAUUUUUUUUUUCCAUGAAUUAAUAGAGUUUAGGCUUCUUUAAUGGUUAAACGUGAUGCUCUUGGUUUCACAGUAACAUCAAAUAAUCUUUUUGGGUUCUAAACUUCUACAGGGUUGGUUAUUUUAAUAUGGCCCGUUCUGGAAACCACCUCAGAUGAAGGUAGUGUUUUUGUUGACCUGCUAGUUUAGAUUUUAUUAAUACUUAUCUCUGUCAUUAUCUUUUUAUUUACUUGAAAUUCUGUGUUCAUGUCCAUUUUAUACCAAAUAUGUUUGAUACCUAUGUUAAUCCUUAUAAUAAAGUUUUCCUUGAUUUGCAAUUAUGUUGCAAAUGUUCUUGUAUAUGGAGGUUGGCAAAAUCAUGGGAUCAAUUUAGAAAUAUCAUGUGUGCUUAUUUAAUAUACUAUGACAACGAAUAAAAUGGCAUAUGAUUUGAGAAUUUGUUUUAUGAUGAUCAUUUGUAUAAAUUUUAGUAGGCCAUCUUUUGAACUGAUUUAUAGGUUUAUAACUAGGAUGAGAUUGUAAAUAAGAUGUUCUCGAGAAGUGAGAGAUCGGCAUUGAAGAAUGCUUAUCAAGUAUCUCUGGAUUGAUUUAAUUGAAGGCAAACAAGAAAAGAAGCAUAUGGUCCUAUCAACUGCAAAACUGCAUCACACAAUGUAAUAUUGAAUAACUUUUUGGGAUUGAAUUUGUC
rnacentral:lncRNA from 1 species